UCUAACAAACGUGCUAACUCAAUUCUUUUUGUUGACUUUACUUAAAGUGCUAUUGUUUGUUUACCUUACUGUUGUAGAUCUAUUAAAUCUUACUAUUUGUGCUAAAAGUCCAAGUUACUCAAAUGUCCCUAGUUAAGGGUACAUGAUUUGUUUGAGUGCUGUGCAAGCCAUGUGACCACUGACAUCAUCAGGGUUUGGACUGAGAAGACCUCGGCUGAUAAACAAUACAACUGGGGUCUGUACCAUGAAGCCGGAUUAGCUGCUGGCCAGGAAAGACGGUUUGGAGAUGUUAUCACAUCACAAAAACCCAUGCCUGCUGGAUUAAUGUGCAUUUGAGGAGAUACGAAAGGUGAUUCCAAAGCAAUACGUACAUAUAUGAGGAAAAACAGACAGCUUGGAGAAGGAGACUGAGGUUGCUCUUCAACACGCUGCGGUUCUCCGUGGCAUUCCGGUCCUGCUUGCUCAUGUUUUCUCUUGAUUCAGCUAUUGUGUUUACCUGAUGACACAAGCUGACAUUGCAAUACAUGUCAAAGGAGUUAGACAGUAUGAGCAAAUGUUUUUGUUAUAUGCAAGUUAAAGUAUAUUGAGUGUGCGUUCUUUUUAUUGUUUUAAUGUGCUCCGGGAAUAUUCUUCUUCUCAAAUGCUCUUUUGUUGGUUUUGAUUGCUUCUGUUGUCCUCGUUUGUACGUCACUUUGGAUAAAAGCGUCUGCUAAAUGACUGAAUGUAAAUGUACAACUUUUAACAUUUAAUUUGGGAUGUUUUUCUGA